CUGUGCUGAGCCCUGGAGUGACGGGGGUGAAAGGGCAGAGUCCCUGUCCUCCAGGAGCUCCCCAUGUGG